UACGUAGGGGGCAAGCGUUGUCCGGAAUCAUUGGGCGUAAAGCGCGUGUAGGCGGCCCGAUAAGUCCGCUGUGGAAAGUCCAGGGCUCAACCCUGGAAUGCCGGUGGAUACUGUCGGGCUCGAGUCCGGAAGAGGCGAGUGGAAUUCCUGGUGUAGCGGUGAAAUGCGCAGAUAUCAGGAGGAACACCCGUAGCGAAGGCGGCACUCUGGGGCCGAUUCUGAGCACUGGAGGAGCGGAAAAGCGUGGGGGAG
rnacentral:rRNA from 1 species